AGAGUUUGAUCCUGGCUCAGGACGAACGCUGGCGGCGUGCUUAACACAUGCAAGUCGAACGGAAAGGCCCUUCGGGGUACUCGAGUGGCGAACGGGUGAGUAACACGUGGGUGAUCUGCCCUGCACUCUGGGAUAAGCCUGGGAAACUGGGUCUAAUACCGGAUAGGACCACACACUUCAUGGUGAGUGGUGCAAAGCUUUUGCGGUGUGGGAUGAGCCCGCGGCCUAUCAGCUUGUUGGUGGGGUAAUGGACUACCAAGGCGACGACGGGUAGCCGGCCUGAGAGGGUGACCGGCCACACUGGGACUGAGAUACGGCCCAGACUCCUACGGGAGGCAGCAGUGGGGAAUAUUGCACAAUGGGCGCAAGCCUGAUGCAGCGACGCCGCGUGAGGGAUGACGGCCUUCGGGUUGUAAACCUCUUUCAGCACAGACGAAGCGCAAGUGACGGUAUGUGCAGAAGAAGGACCGGCCAACUACGUGCCAGCAGCCGCGGUAAUACGUAGGGUCCGAGCGUUGUCCGGAAUUACUGGGCGUAAAGAGCUCGUAGGUGGUUUGUCGCGUUGUUCGUGAAAACUCACAGCUUAACUGUGGGCGUGCGGGCGAUACGGGCAGACUUGAGUACUGCAGGGGAGACUGGAAUUCCUGGUGUAGCGGUGGAAUGCGCAGAUAUCAGGAGGAACACCGGUGGCGAAGGCGGGUCUCUGGGCAGUAACUGACGCUGAGGAGCGAAAGCGUGGGGAGCGAACAGGAUUAGAUACCCUGGUAGUCC
rnacentral:rRNA from 1 species